rnacentral:rRNA from 1 species
UACAGGGGUCUCAAGCGUUGUUCGGAUUCAUUGGGCGUAAAGGGCGCGUAGGCGGCGCAGAAAGUAGGGUGUGAAAGCCCUCGGCUCAACCGAGGAAUUGCGCUCUAAACUACUGUGCUUGAGGGACCUAGAGGUGAGCGGAACUGAUGGUGGAGCGGUGAAAUGCGUUGAUAUCAUCAGGAACACCGGAGGCGAAGGCGGCUCACUGGGGGUCUUCUGACGCUGAGGAACGAAAGCCAGGGGAGCGAACGGG